UGUUACAUUUUUUAUUUUUCCUCGGAACAGUAAUAUUAAUGAAAUUUAACGGAUUUGGCGGCAAGAUAGCUUUUUAGAGGAACCUGCCCUGUAAACGAUGAACCACGAGUGACUUUACUCUUGUUAGAAUUCACAGUUUGUAUACCGCUGUUGUCAGUUGAAUUUUUGAAGAUGUCUUCUAUAUUGGUAAUGCUAUUGACUUCAAGUAAAGGUGCAGCUUAUGCGAGAGAUAGAGGUGGGUUACAUUUAAUAGAAUAAAACGGAUAAGGAUUAGGAAGAAACCUUUGAAGGUGGAUUUAACCGUAAAGUUUAAAAAGACUUGGUGAUAGCUCUAUCUUGUG
rnacentral:rRNA from 1 species